rnacentral:rRNA from 1 species
GACGAACGCUGGCGGCGUGCUUAACACAUGCAAGUCGAACGGAAAGGCCCUGCUUUUGUGGGGUGCUCGAGUGGCGAACGGGUGAGUAACACGUGAGUAACCUGCCCUUGACUUUGGGAUAACUUCAGGAAACUGGGGCUAAUACCGGAUAGGAGCUCCUGCUGCAUGGUGGGGGUUGGAAAGUUUCGGCGGUUGGGGAUGGACUCGCGGCUUAUCGGCUUGUUGGUGGGGUAGUGGCUUACCAAGGCUUUGACGGGUAGCCGGCCUGAGAGGGUGACCGGCCUCAUUGGGACUAAGAUACGGCCCAGACUCCUACGGGCGGCAGCAGUGGGAAAUAUUGCACAAUGGGCGGAAGCCUGUUGCAGCAACGCCGCGUGCGGGAUGACGGCCUACGGGUUGUAAACCGCUUUCGCCUGUGACGAACCGUGAGUGACGGUAAUGGGUAAAGAAGCACCGGCUAACUACGUG